rnacentral:rRNA from 1 species
AUUGAAAGCUGGCGGCAGGCCUAACACAUGCAAGUCGAGCGGAGCGGCGGACGGGUGAGUAAUGCCUAGGAAUCUGCCUGGUAGUGGGGGAUAACGUCCGGAAACGGGCGCUAAUACCGCAUACUAACAGAUGAGCCUAGGUUGGAUUAGCUAGUUGGUGGGGUAAAGGCCUACCAAGGCGAGGAUCCGUAACUGGUUGGAGAGGAUGAUCAGUCGCACUGGAACUGAGACACGUGCCGUAAUCCUACGGGAGGCAGCAGUGGGGAAUAUUGGACAAUGGGCGAAAUCCUGAUCCAGCCAUGCCGCGGGUGGGAAGAAGGUCUUCGGAUUGUAAAGCACUUUAAGUUGGUAGGCGUUACCAACAGAAUAAGCACCGGCUAACUUCGUGCCAGCAGCCGCGGUAAUAC